UCGUUAUUGGAUCGUGGUGAUCGUGGGAGACGGUGCGAUUCAGAUGUCAUCAGCCUGCAGGAAUUUUCAUCAAGGGGAACCUGUAGCACAAGAAACUCAACCGCACGCUGUUGCUGUCUGUUGCCGCGUUGAUGCUGGAAAGUUCAUUGUGAUUCAUUCGUUGUUGCCUCCUCCUGUUGUGUUUCCGGCUCGCCAAUGCUCCUACAUCAGUUUAUGAACGGAGCCCUGGACGUCAUGCAUCCCACAGCGAUUCAAAAAGAUACCACGUUUACCAAAAUCUUUGUGGGGGGCUUGCCUUACCACACGAACGAUGCCUCCUUGCGAAAAUAUUUCGAGGCCUUCGGGGACAUAGACGAGGCGGUGGUGAUAACAGACAGACAGACCGGGAAAUCCAGAGGAUACGGCUUUGUGACCAUGACUGACCGAGGGGCAGCAGAGCGAGCCUGUAAGGACCCCAACCCCAUCAUUGAUGGGAGGAAGGCCAAUGUCAACCUGGCCUACCUGGGUGCCAAGCCUCGCAGUAUGCAGACAGGCAUAUCCAUCGGAGUACAUCCCAUUCACCCUGCACUUGUCCAGAGGCAGUAUGGGUUGGCCCAGCAGUAUCUUUACCCCCAGGCCUUCAUCCAGCCCAGCCUAGUGCUGCCCACUCAGGUUUCCACCUCCGUCACCUCCUCCCCUUACCUGGACUACAGCGCCGCCUACACUCAGUAUGCCCAGGCCGCCUAUGAGCAGCAGCAGUACCCUUACGCCGCCUCUCCAGCAGGAUUCCUGGGCUACAGCUACACCCCCAGCCCAACAGCCUCUGCUGCUGGUCCGCCCACCACCGCGACUGCCCCAGCGACCGUUCACCCCACGGCGCUCUCCUCCGCCACCGGCGCCGCCCAAGCCUUCCUGCACUACGCCCCACAGCAGCACAUCCAGCCAGACCGCAUGCAAUGAGCUAAGAAAAGGAAGGGUGUGAGAGGCAGGGCGAGGAUGAGUUGAUAACGAUGGAGGAGCCAUGGUGCCCAGGAUGGAAAAAAAAAAAAAGGAGUGUGUCUGGUAUUUGUGCUUGGAAAGCUUUCUGGCACAUGGAAACCCUCCUUUCCUCUAAACUCCUGGAGCCAUAGGGGUGGAUGAAGGGCACCCCUGCUUUAAGGACAUUGUGGAGAGACUGAGGGUUGACGAGAACAGGGCUUGUGAUUUAGGAGACGCGGAGCUGUUGGCUUCUGCAUAUCUGGUCCGAGGGGAGAGGACUGCCCCGUGAACAAAUCCCAGUGUGACGACCAGAUGAAAAGGCGUGAUUUCGCUGAGGGAGGAAAUUCAAUUCUAAACGGACAAAAUGAAAAGUUGGUGUUUAUACUCCAGGAACACCCUUCUCUUCUGAGACUGUGAUGUCAGGACUACUUUAAAAAAAAAAAAAUUAGAGAGGCCUUAAUGAAAUCUCCUUUUUGAAUCUUUGUUUUUACAAGCACACCCCCGUCAAGCCACCCACAGAACCAAGUGUAGAGUCCACCCUGACUGGCCCGGACUCGUUUUGCUUACAGCAGACACGUUAAUCUGACUCACUUGGGUCUGGAUAAUGCUAGGCGAAUGUAGAUAAUCAUAUGCAGUAUGUGGGUGGGGGGUGGGGGGGCACUGGGUAUUAAUGUUGGAAGGUAGCUGACACUGAGCUAAAACAUCAGUGUAUAUUUUCAUUCUUUGUCCUUUCUAACUGUUAACCUGAGAAUGUUACAGGUAAUUACUCUGAAAAGGACAUUCAUGUACAGCAUUUUAAAAUGUUUCAGUUAUCAAGUACAUUUACUAUAUUUAUGUCAAUGUAUUUAUAGAGGAUACUAAGUUAAAAAAACAACAACCAUGCUUUUGUUUGCAUUCGCAUUGACUAUAAUUGUGGUACAGAAGUCCUAUAACUUGUGCCGGCGUACCUGCAGAUCAGUAGAGAUGGUCCCCUAUUCUUUUUGCAGCCACAUUUGGUUUGUACUUGGUCACCAUGUCACUGGAUUCAUCCUGUGUGCACAGCAACUAGAUGCUCAUUUGUAGCUGCCUAGUAUGUCUGAUCGGAACAGAAAUGCUCUGUAGGCUGUUCCGGUAAAAUGUCUUUUCUAGUCCCUUCAAGGAAGCCAUACCAAAAAAAUAAAAAAUAAAUAAAGAAUUUGUAUUUAAACCAAGAAA